rnacentral:rRNA from 1 species
KGGGCCCUCGAAAUCCUGUGGCGGGAGGAUUCAGUGCGUCGCCGUGGACGGCCGGCACCGGAAGUCAGGCAGGGCUUCCCGGGACCGGGCGCCGUCCGUGUGGCCGUCUCCCCGGCGGCGURCGCAUUUGUCUCCCGUCCGAAGGACGCCGCAGCCGGUUCGGCAGCGCAAGCGUGACGGCCUGAAGGCCGGGAACCGGCAGGUGGCCGGUGGUCCUCCCCCGGGGGGGUCGCCGGUUGUUAGCCGUCCCGGUGGUGGCCCGUCGCCGGACCGAGGUGUCGCGAGUCCCCUCCGGGGGACUCCUCGUCUCCACCCCGACGCGGUCGCAGGACUGGUCCUUGGCAAGGGUCCGCCGUGGAGCCGUCGCACUCCCUCGGAGUGGGCGGAGAGGCGGACGGGCCCCGUUGGCCGCCGCGGACCUGCGGGGGACAGGAGGCUGGCGGCGAGUAGGUCGGUCACCCACCCGGCCCGUCUUGAAACACGGACCAAGGAGUCUAACAUGUGCGCGAGUCAGUGGGUCUUGGACAGGCCCACGGGCGCAAUGAAAGCGAAGGACCUGCCUUGGCGCGGUCCGAGUCGGGAUCCCUCCCCCUCGUGGGGGGGGCGCACCGACGACCCGUCCCGUCCGGCUCGCCGGUGGGUCGGAGUCUGAGCGUACACGUUGGGACCCGAAAGAUGGUGAACUAUGCCCGGACAGGACGAGGCCAGAGGAAACUCUGGUGGAGGUCCGCACGGUUCUGACGUGCAAAUCGAUCGUCMGAUCCGGGUCUAGG